rnacentral:rRNA from 1 species
UACGUAGGGUGCGAGCGUUAAUCGGAAUUACUGGGCGUAAAGCGUGCGUAGGCGGUUCGUUAAGUUCGUUGUGAAAGCCCCGGGCUCAACCCGGGAAGUGCAAUUGAUACUGCUUGGCUUGAAUGUGGAAGAGGGCAGUAGAAUUCCAGGUGUAGUGGUGAAAUGCGUAGAUAUCUGGAGGAACACCGGUGGCGAAGGCGGCAUCCUGGACCGGUAUUGACGCUGAGGAGCGAAAGCCAGGGGAGCAAACGGG